UACAGAGGGUGCGAGCGUUAAUCGGAAUUACUGGGCGUAAAGCGCACGUAGGUGGCGACGUAUGUCGGGUGUGAAAGCCCCGGGCUCAACCUGGGAAUUGCAUCCGAAACUGCGUUGCUGGAGUACGGAAGAGGAGAGUGGAAUUCCUGGUGUAGCGGUGAAAUGCGCAGAUAUCAGGAAGAACACCAAUGGCGAAAGCAGCUCUCUGGGACGGUACUGACGCUGAGACGCGAAAGCGUGGGGAGCGAACAGG
rnacentral:rRNA from 1 species